CGUGUAGGCUGCUUCGCAAGUCGGAUGUGAAAGCCCUGGGCUCAACCCAGGAAGUGCAUUCGAAACUGCAGAGCUGGAGUCCUGGAGAGGAAGGCGGAAUUCUCGGUGUAGAGGUGAAAUUCGUAGAUAUCGAGAGGAACACCGGUGGCGAAGGCGGCCUUCUGGACAGUGACUGACGCUGAGACGCGAAGCGUGGGAGCAAACA
rnacentral:rRNA from 1 species